rnacentral:lncRNA from 1 species
UAGUCAGCAAAGUGGGACCUGUACUUCCAGAACCCUAUCUUUGCCGUGGCCAGCCUCUCCUAGGUGCAGCUCCUCAGGGACCCCAGGAAGAAGUACUACAAACUCCACCCCUUAGUUGCUGAAAUAGUGGAUUCAUGCCUACAGAUUGAUCCUGCUGACAGGGCUACGUGCUCCAUGUUGCUCAUUCACCGAUACUUCUCCAAAGAUGGGUUCCCUGAAAGGUGAGUCAGGGCAACCUUGCGUGUCGAGAGUACAUGGAGAAGCAAUUAUC